rnacentral:rRNA from 1 species
GACGAACGCUGGCGGCGUGCUUAACACAUGCAAGUCGAACGGAAAGGCCCUGCUUUUGUGGGGUGCUCGAGUGGCGAACGGGUGAGUAACAAGUGAGUAACCUGCCCUUGACUUUGGGAUAACUUCAGGAAACUGGGGCUAAUACCGGAUAGGAGCUCCUGCUGCAUGGUGGGGGUUGGAAAGUUUCGGCGGUUGGGGAUGGACUCGCGGCUUAUCAGCUUGUUGGUGGGGUAGUGGCUUACCAAGGCUUUGACGGGUAGCCGGCCUGAGAGAGUGACCGGCCACAUUGGGACUGAGAUACGGCCCAGACUCCUACGGGACGCAGCAGUGGGGAAUAUUGCACAAUGGGCGGAAGCCUGAUGCAGCAACGCCGCGUGCGGGAUGACGGCCUUCGGGUUGUAAACCGCUUUCGCCUGUGACGAAGCGUGAGUGACGGUAAUGGGUAAAGAAGCACCGGCUAACUACGUG